rnacentral:tRNA from 2 species
GCCGAUGUGGCUCAGUGGUAGAGCACUCGACUCGUAAUCGAGUGGUCGCGGGUUCAAAUCCCGCCAUCGGCU